rnacentral:rRNA from 1 species
GUCCCGCCUGCCCUGUGACUAUAAGUUUAACGGCCGCGGUAUUUUGACCGUGCAAAGGUAGCGCAAUCACUUGUCUUUUAAAUGAAGACCCGUAUGAAUGGCACGACGAGGGCUUAACUGUCUCCUUCCCCCAGUCAAUGAAAUUGAUCUGCUCGUGCAGAAGCGAGCAUAAAGACAUAAGACGAGAAGACCCUAUGGAGCUUUCAGACGUACAAAUGGACCGAGUUAAACAACCCAAGUCAAAAGAAUAAACCAAACGAAACCCACUUGAAUGUCUUUGGUUGGGGCGACCGCGGGGAAACACACAACCCCCACGAAGUGAAGGUACAAACCUUUAUAACCAAGAACAACAGUUCAAAGAAUCAAAACAUUUGACCAUAAGAUCCGGCAAAGCCGAUCAACGAACCAAGUUACCCUAGGGAUAACAGCGCAAUCCCCUUUUAGAGUCCCUAUCAACAAGGGGGUUUACGACCUCGAUGUUGGAUCAGGACAUCCUAAUGGUGCAGCUGCUAUUAAGGGUUCGUUUGUUCAACGAUUAAAGUCCU